rnacentral:rRNA from 1 species
UACGUAGGGACCGAGCGUUGUCCGGAAUCAUUGGGCGUAAAGAGCGUGUAGGCGGCCACUUAAGUCCUGCGUGAAAUCUUGCGGCUCAACCGCAAGCGGUCGUGGGAAACUGGGUGGCUAGAGUGCUGGAGAGGAGAGUGGAAUUCCUGGUGUAGCGGUGGAAUGCGCAGAUAUCAGGAAGAACACCCGUGGCGAAGGCGGGUCUCUGGGCAGUAACUGACGCUGAGGAGCGAAAGCGUGGGGAGCGAACAGG